CGAUAACGAACGAGACCUUAACCUGCUAAAUAGUUAGGCCAACGUUUGUUGGUCGUCAACUUCUUAGAGGGACUAUUGACUAUUAGUCAAUGGAAGUUUGAGGCAAUAACAGGUCUGUGAUGCCCUUAGAUGUUCUGGGCCGCACGCGCGCUACACUGAUCAAUUCAACGAGUUUACAACCUACGCCGGAAGGUCUGGGUAAUCUUUUGAAACUUGAUCGUGCUGGGGAUAGUCCAUUGCAAUUAUUGGACUUCAACGAGGAAUUCCUAGUAAACGUGAGUCAUCACCUCGCGUUGAUUACUUCCCUGCCCUUUGUACACACCGCCCGUCGCUACUACCGAUUGAAUGGCU
rnacentral:rRNA from 1 species